rnacentral:sRNA from 1 species
UCGAGGUCCAUAUACCUGGUAGAGUCCAGGUUAC